GAUGAACGCUGGCGGCGUGCCUAAUACAUGCAAGUCGAGCGAAGCGGGGACGGGUGAGUAACACGUGGAUAACCUCCUAUAAGACUGGGCUAACUUCGGGAAACCGGAGCUAAACCGGAUAAUUAUAUAUGGAUCCUCGCUGCAUUAGCUAGUUGGUAAAGUAACGGCUUACCAGGGCAACGAUGCAUAGCCGACCUGAUAGGGGGAUCGGCCACACUGGAACUGAGACACGGUCCAUACUCCUACGGGAGGCAGCCGUAGGGAAUCGUCCGCAAUUGGCGAAAGCCUGACGGAGCAACGCCGCGUGAGUGAUGAAGGUCUUCGGAUCGUAAAACGCUGUUAUUAGGGAAGCGGUACCUAAUCAGAAAGCCACGGCUAACUACGUGCCAGCAGCCGCGGUAAUAC
rnacentral:rRNA from 1 species